rnacentral:rRNA from 1 species
GAUGAACGCUAGCGGCAGGCUUAAUACAUGCAAGUCGAGGGGCAGCGCGGGGUAGCAAUACUCUGGCGGCGACCGGCAAACGGGUGCGGAACACGUACAGAACCUUCCUUCAAGCGGGGAAUAGCCCAGAGAAAUUUGGAUUAAUACCCCAUAGUAUUACGAAGUGGCAUCACUUUGUACUUAAAGAUUUAUCACUUGAAGAUGGCUGUGCGGCUGAUUAGGUAGUUGGCGGGGUAACGGCCCACCAAGCCUGCGAUCAGUAACUGGUGUGAGAGCGCGACCAGUCACACGGGCACUGAGACACGGGCCCGACUCCUAGGGGAGGCAGCAGUAAGGAAUAUUGGUCAAUGGGCGAAAGUCUGAACCAGCCAUGCCGCGUGAAGGAUGAAGGUCCUCUGGAUUGUAAACUUCUUUUAUAUGGGACGAAAAAAGGGUUUUCUAACUCGUCUGACGGUACCAUAUGAAUAAGCACCGGCUAACUCCGUGCCAGCAGCCGCGGUAAAAC